GGAAUUUAAAGCCAUUUACGGAUGUAUUGGUUGACUACGGGAUCAAUAUUUUCAAUAACCCAUGUUUUAGAAAGUGUUGCGAUGGUGAAAUGCCAGGAUAAUUUGGAUAAGACAUAACGACUGUACACGAGAAGCUUAUUUCUUGGGUGGAGUGGCUUCGAGUCAAUAUCAGUCAUUAGUUCAUUAACGAGGGUGGUUAGUUCAGUCUUAUGGUUAUUAUUCGACAUGUUAAAAUCAAAGUAACCUUCCUAAAUAUUGAAAUGCUUCUCCAAUCUUUGUUGUUGGUAUCAGAUUAUUGUUGAUGAGGAGUUUCGGCAAAUAUUGGACUGAUUUUGUGAUGGCUUUCUUGAUGCCAAAGGUACUACAUUUAUCGACUCUGAUAAUCAUAUUGGACCAUUGGCACUAGGUGGAAAAACGAUUUAAGAGAUGCUGGUUUUCAGAUUCUUGCCAGUGAUUACGGCUGCGUCAUCAGCGAACUGGAACCAGUGGAUAGGAUUUAAUAGCUUGAAGGAGAAGCCAAACUGACGGUACUUUUCAGCUUUUAUAUGUUGGAUUAAAGUAUUAAAACACAUAUUGAAAAGAAGAGGACUGAGGCAAUCUCCUUGCAAUACGCCAAGGCCAACAGAUUUAAAAGGGGUGCGGAAUUCGGAGGUAAUUAUUGAGGUUUGGAAAUCAGUGUAUAAACUUUUUAUAACGAAUUUUAUGUGUUCUGGGAUGUGGUGGUAGUCGAGUACUGAUUGGAUGAGAUUGUGGUGGACAUCGCCGAACGCAUUCUUCAGAUCAAGUAGGGUGAUGCGGGCUUUGUUAAUGAUGUCAGCCAUUUGCGCAGUGUGUUCUAGAGUGCCAGAUAGGUUAGGGGUGAAGUCCUUUUGUAUGCCGUGUUCGAUAAAGUUAUUGGAUGCGAGGAAGGAAUAUAUUGCGUUUCGAAGACAAGAUGUAAAACUUUUAAUGGUAUGGACUCAGGUGUUAUGGGACGGAAAUUUGACGGAUCAUCAGUGUUGCCUUUCUGAUGUAUUAAUAUAGUACAUGCUUUUUUCCAUUCAUUCGGGACAGUUCCAGAUAGCCAAAUUUCUUGAAUUAGUUCACUGAGGUAAGUUCUCAGAUAAGGACAUCGCUUCAAACAAAUUAUCAAAAGCUGAUCAAGGGGGCAAGGGGAGCCAGACGAUUUCAUUUUACGUAUCUCAUUAGUAAUUUGUUGGUAAGUCGGGGGGUCAAGGUUGAAUUGAAUUUCGGGAUCGG